ACUACCAGCAGCUUAUCCUUAAGACUACUGAAAUGAUAAUACUAAGCAGGAACUUCACGAGGACAACAACCAGGGAGAUAUCAGGAAGGCCAAGAAUCAACACACGAAAGUCAUUAGAAACACAUUAGAAUAUUAUGAUGGCCACCAGGGAAGGAUUUCAGAUGAAAAAUCAAGAAAAAAAGCACUCAAAGAACAGCCAAAAACAACUACAAGUACAACAUAUGGGUUAAGAUACUUUCAACACAAAUGCAGGGGAAAACAUCAUCAGGACAAUAAUCAGGCUAAUAUCAGAAAGGCCAACAACCAGAGGAUGGACAUCAGAGGAAACUCAAGAAGAAAAGAACAACGUCAGAACAACUGUAUACAGUAUGGGAAGAACACAAUUGGUACAACUACUAGAUAAUAUAUCAUCAGGCCAAUGACUAGGAUAAAGAUAAUCAGGACAAGUGAAGGAAAGGACAUCACCAUGAAAACUGCACAGCCAAAACUUAAGAAGGUCAAUAUUUGGUGAGAUGUGAAAAAGGACAAACAUAGGAUUGAGAACAUUUGGACUCAAGAAGGAAUAGACAUCAGGAGGACUACCAGUGAAGGAUGUAACAGGAACAACUACCUAAGAAAAUUAUAAUUAGGACAACCAAAAAAUCAUUACAUGAGAUACUACGAGGAAAGGACAUCAUGGGACAUCAGCAAUGACAUCAUCAUGACACUUCUUAGGAGACAUCAUUGAUACAGCUACAAACACAUAUUCAAGACAACUACCAGCAGCUUAUCUUUAGGAUGACUACGAUGACAAAUACUUAGCCAGGACAUCUAAAAAAUAUACAACCAGAGAGAUAUUAGGUAGGAAAAGAACCAGGGGAAGAACAAGAGACAUUGUAAUGGUUACUAGAAAAGGAUAUCACAAAAACAAACAAGGAAGAGCAUUAAAGGGACAGCCAAGAUAACACUACAAGGACAACAGCUAAGGAGCGAUGCCAUCAACACAGCUGUCAGGAGAUUAUGUCAUCAGGACAAAGACAAGGGAUGUAUUAAAACAAUUAAAAACUCAUCUUCAGUGAGUGAUACCUACAAGACUAAUUGAUUCUUUGUAGUUUUACGUCCCUUGCAAGAUUAUUUCACUCUAGACGUCACCGCAUGCCACUGAAGGGCUUCAAAUUUAGACCUUUACUCUGCACUUGCUGCCAUAAAGUAAUGAGUGUUCUAUAGUGUGCAAACGCCUGCUGUGAUACAGUGCCUCGGUUUAAUGCCUCAUUCAAAAGACCGACAGAUUUCACUUCAAAGGGCCGAGCGCUUAGUGAAGGAACAGUUGCUACUUAUUUUAGGAUACCAUGAUGAGGAUCAUCUGUUAGGGAUACAAGAAGAAUACCUACAAGGGGACAUCAUUAGAACUGAAGGAAGGAUAUCUUUAGGAAAGCUGAAAGUAAGGACUGUGGAAGGACCCGAGUAGGAAUGGACAUCUAGGAGGACCAGCAGGAAAGGAUAUUUCAAGAACAACUACAGGAUGGACAGGUAAAAAAGAAAAGAGACAUCAGGCCCCGGAGCUAUUUAACUAAGAUGAGCUCACUUCUGAUCUCGGUCACUUCUACCAAAGGAAUAUAUACAUGUAGUGGAAAAGUGAGACUGAGAUCAAAAGUGAGCUCAUCUAAGUUUUAUGGCCCCGGGGCCAGGAAAAAGCAACAAAGAGGGGCGAACAUCAUGAGGAACUUAAUAAAGAAAGGAUACCAUGAGAAGGUCAUCUGAGGAUAUAAAAUAGCAUUAUAAGGACAACAAAGGAAAUCACUACAAGGACAACAGUAAUGCAAACAGUACUGCAUUAUGGAAAGGAUAUUAUCAAGGCAACCUCCGGGAAGGCAUCACUAAAACAACUACAAACUCUUUGUCAGUGAAGGAUAUCUACAGAAUAUUUAUAUUAUAAAGUACAUCACAUAGACAACAAGAAGGAUACCUUAAAAGGAAAGGAUACCAUGAGAAAGAUAAUCAUGAAGGAUAUGAAAUAUCUAACGAAGAAGGGCAUCAUAAGGACAAAGGUCAUCUUCAUGACAACUACCAAAAAUAGGAAAGACAACAACUAGGCAUGAUGAAAUCAAUCCGGAAUGGAUAUCAAAACAACCAAUAAGAACAGCCAUUGAAUCACUAUGAUGCCAACAGUAAGGAAAAAUACUCGGAUAAGAUCAUCCGAACAGUGGCAAGGGGACUUUAUAAGGACAAUUGAAGCAAAGGACAUCACUAACUGCUAAGCAAGGACUUGGAAGGACACCACCUAGGAAGAUGCCAGGGAGGACCACCACAGGAUGGACAUCAUUUGGCUGCGAGUAGGAAUAGACAUUAGGAGAACCAUAAAGGAAGGAUAUUAAAAGAACAUCUAUUGAGGACCGAUAAAAUCAGGAAGCCCAGAGAUUUAAUUCGAGGACCACAACAAGGAUAAGGCACAUCAGUACUACAAUUAGGAGCUAGCAUCAUUGGGACAUUGAGAGGGAGACUUCAUAUAAACAUUUACAUGCUACAACCAGGAAAACUACUAGCAGCUCAGAUAACUACUUGCCAAGGACAUCAAGAGGACAAAAUCUAGGGAGGUCAGGAAGAGCAAUAACUAGGGGAUGAACAUCAUCAGGAUGGACAUCAGGGAAACAUAACACAGAGAACUUCGAAAGAAGAAAAUUACAGGGACAACCAGGGAAUCUAAAGGGACAACAGUGAGGUAAAGAUGCCAUCAAUGCGACAUUCAAGAGAGAAUAUCAUCGAGACAACCAUCAGGGAGACAUCAUUAAAACAACAACAAACUCAUCUUCAGUGAAGGAUAUUUACAGGGUAACAAAAUCCAUUAUGUGAACAACAACCAAGGAGACAUAAAAAACAUCAACCAGGGUGAACGUUAUGACGAAUUCGAGUAGGAAAGGAUACUAUCAAGAGGACAACAAUGAAGGAUUUAGGAUUUAGAUUCUACCAUAGAAAAGGCAAGCAAAAAGUCAUUUAAAAGCAAAAAUGGACAUCAUGAGAAACAUCACGAGAAAGUCAAGUAGGAAUCAAGACAACCAAAUGGAAAGGAUAUCAAAAAAACACCAAGAAAAAAUGGCUUCGGUGGGAACACAUCAUACAAAAAAGCAACCAUGGAUGGACAUUCAUUAGGAAUCAUAUAACAAGUGUAUCGCCACUCAGGGGAAGGAAUUCAUCAUGACAACAACAACGAACCAAUGAACGACCAUAUCAGAACAGUGAAUGAUCAAGACAAAAACAAGAUUCUUGUAAAAGGAGAUCAAAUUUCAGGACAGAAAGGUGUGUCAGAAAUCUGCAUGGGAGACAUCAGCAUAAUUUCCAGAUUUCCAUCAGCAUAACCAUGGGGAAGAGCAUUGUCAGGAUGAUACUAAUUAAAGGCAAUAACCAGGAAAUGAUAUCAUGAAGUUAGGACAUCAGCUGGACAGCUAGAGUAAUGGGAUAUUAACUUCAGAAUAUUAAUCAAUAAAGGACUUUUUCUCACAGCUGAGAAAAUUAAUGAGACAUAAUUUAAAAAAAAAAUAACCAGACAGCCAUCAUAAGGAAAAAAUUUAGAAAGAUAUGUGUGCAGCAAACCUAAAGGAGGAAAAAAACAGGCCGGAGAAGGGAAGGACAUCAUGAGAACAACUCUCAGGGAGUUGCCAUGAGGACAAUAAUUAUCACCAGGAAACCACAUCAAAAGGACUGCAAACAGGAAAAGAUAUCACCUGAAUAACUUUUGGUAAACAAGCACAAAUACAAAGGCCCAUAAGGCUACUGUCAAAGAAGAUCGUCAUGACGACUAUAACAGGCACUUCAUUAGGGUAAUAACAAAGAAAAGAAGUCAACAUGGCACUUAGAGGACAUCAUAUGGAUAACUACCAGGGAGCAUUAAUGCAAAUUAUCAAUUUCUCUCGAGAUGUCAUCUGGACAGUAAACUGUUCAUCACCAUGAAAUACAUCAUCUGGAUAGCCACAAGAGGGUAGGACAACCAUCAUAAACAAAUCCUGUAAACAGACAAAAAAAAAACAUUGUCUGGGUAAAUAUGAACCAGUCACAGCCAGAAUAAUUAUCAGAGACAUUUUAUCAGCAUAGCAAGAAGAUUGUUUACAGUUACGUAACAUUGGUCGAGCUAUAAUGGAAGAAGAGUUUUCUAAUGGUCAUCUGUUUGAUAUUUUUUACAAGUGACUGUGGAAUGUUAAUCUGAAGUACGACCAACAAGAAUGUUUUUGUCAGAUGUUUUAUUGAUAAAAUAAAAGGUUUAGUUUAAAA